rnacentral:rRNA from 1 species
UGCGUAGGCGGUGCAGAAAGUCGGGUGUGAAAUCCCCCAGCUCAACUGAGGAAUUGCGCCCGAAACUACUGUGCUUGAGGAAGAUAGAGGUACGCGGAACUUAGGGUGGAGCGGUGAAAUGCGUUGAUAUCCUAAGGAACACCGGUGGCGAAAGCGGCGUACUGGGUCUUAUCUGACGCUGAGGCACGAAAGCUAGGGUAGCACG